ACCUGGGCAUGAUGAAAAGGUGCUCCAAACCCUCUGCUGCACAAGGACACAAACAGACAAAACAAAGCCCACUAUACAGCUGCUAUCCAGUGGGACUUCGUUAGCUUGUGCUCGCAGCCUCCCGGUGGAGAUUCCAGAUCUGGAUCACUUCACUCCUGCCGACGAGCCCACUGCCGAGGACCAGAUUCAACAACCCUGAGACACCUUCUUAUGUACAAUAAAGUCUUAUUCAUCCGAUCCCAAGGUCUCUG